rnacentral:rRNA from 1 species
UACGUAGGUGGCAAGCGUUGUCCGGAAUUAUUGGGCGUAAAGCGCGCGCAGGCGGUCCUUUAAGUCUGAUGUGAAAGCCCACGGCUCAACCGUGGAGGUCAUUGGAAACUGGGGGACUUGAGUGCAGGAGAGAAGAGUGGAAUUCCCGGUGUAGCGGUGAAAUGCGCAGAUAUCGGGAGGAACACCGGUGGCGAAGGCGGUUCUCUGGGCCUUACCUGACGCUGGAGGAGCGAAAGCGUGGGGAGCGAACAGG